rnacentral:lncRNA from 10 species
AGGAGGAAUUUAUCAAAGGAGACAGAAAAAGCAUCAAGGCAAGCUGUGAAAUGGUGCGGUAGGAACCAAAUAGAGAGCCAAAGGAUCUUUCUGUCACUGCAGGCCCUUAGGGGAGGACACAGCAAGAAGCCUCUCCCAGAUGCUGGCACCUUGAUCUUGGACUUCUCAGCCUCUGGAACUGUGAGAGACGGGGUCUCACUGUAUCAGCUCAGCUGGAGUACAGUGGUGAGAUCAGAGCUCACCGCAGCCUCCGGGCUCCUGGUCUCAAGCAAUCCGGACCUCAGCCUCCCAAGUAGUGGGGACUACAGAGAAUGUACAACUCCUCUGCCACAACGUGAGGGAGAGAAGUCUGCAGACGGCUGACUGGUGACGACUGAACAAGACGGAAAGUUGCCAACAGCAGAGACAACUGUGAGACACAGUGAAAUGAAGUGACUGCUCCACUGCUGGGCAACAGGAGACCCGGAUGCCAGGCUCCCUGGCAGAAGAAAUAGAAAGUCAAUAGCAAACACAGAUGUCUUCCUCCCUACCACAUCACCUCCACUUUUCACCAUCGCCUGUGUGAUACAACCACCCCGCAAUGCCUUCCUCAGCCUUUUACUUCUGUUUCCAGUGAGUCAAGAAAAACUUCUCCAGCUUGCCCUGUGGAGAUGAAUGAGCCCAUAAUCCACUUACACGUGUGACCUUUACACAGCCAGGACCCCCAUAGAGCAGCCAAACAUGCAGUCUUGUAAACAAAAGGAAUUU